rnacentral:rRNA from 1 species
ACGUAGGAGGCAAGCGUUAUCCGGAUUUACUGGGCGUAAAGCGCGUGCAGGCGGUUUUUUAAGUCACUUGUGAAAGCGCCCGGCUCAACUGGGCGAGGCCGUGUGAGACUGAAAAACUGGCGAGAGGUAGAGGCGAAUGGAAUUCCGGGUGGAGUGGUGAAAUGCGUAGAGAUCCGGAGGAACCCCAGUGGCGAAGGCGACCUGCUCGGCCUUGCCUGACGCUCAGACGCGAAAGCAUGGGGAGCGAACGG